GUGCUCACUUCUGCAGCACAUAGACUGAAAUUGGAACAGUACAGAGAAGCGUGGCCCCUGUGCAAGGAUGACACGCAAAUUCAUGAAGCAUUUCACAUUUUU